AGUCACGAAGUUAACCCGAAUUACAUGCACGCAUACACGCAAGCAUACACCAGGGCAAUGGCAUUGUGGCUUGAGCCUCGUUGCGAAGCACUAGCCACAAAAACUAGAAAAUUUACAGAGAAUUAACGAGUAGACUGGUAACACCACUUGCGUUACAAAGAAAGUCGCCAAAACAGCGUUGAAACGACCGUUGGCAAUAAAGCGGCUACGGUAAUAAGGUCGCCCUUUGUAAAGACCAAAAUGCCCUUCAUGUGAGGUC